UGACGGUACCUGACUAAGAAGCUCCGGCUAAAUACGUGCCAGCAGCCGCGGUAAUACGUAUGGAGCAAGCGUUAUCCGGAUUUACUGGGUGUAAAGGGUGCGUAGGCGGCAUGGCAAGUCAGAUGUGAAAGACCGGGGCUCAACUCCGGGGCUGCAUUUGAAACUGCCAGGCUUGAGUACAGGAGAGGCAGGCGGAAUUCCUAGUGUAGCGGUGAAAUGCGUAGAUAUUAGGAGGAACACCAGUGGCGAAGGCGGCUUACUGGACUGUAACUGACGUUGAGGCUCGAAAGCGUGGGGAGCAAACAGGAUUAGAUACCCUG
rnacentral:rRNA from 1 species